UACGAAGGGGGCUAGCGUUGUUCGGAAUUACUGGGCGUAAAGCGCACGUAGGCGGGUUGUUAAGUCAGGGGUGAAAUCCUGGAGCUCAACUCCAGAACUGCCUUUGAUACUGGCAACCUAGAGACUGGAAGAGGUUAGUGGAAUUCCCAGCGUAGAGGUGAAAUUCGUAGAUAUUGGGAAGAACACCAGUGGCGAAGGCGGCUAACUGGUCCAGCACUGACGCUGAGGUGCGAAAGCGUGGGGAGCAAACAGG
rnacentral:rRNA from 1 species